rnacentral:tRNA from 1 species
AAACAGUUAGUCCAAAAUAAGACCUUUGAUUUCGGCUCAAAAAACCGUGGUUUAAGCCCACGAUUGUUUU